rnacentral:rRNA from 1 species
GAUGAACCCUAGCGGCAGGCUUAAUACAUGCAAGACGAACGGCAAGUAGUGUAGCAAUACACUGCCUAGAGUGUCGUACGGGUGCGUAACACGUAUGCAACCUACCUUGUACAGGAGUAUAGCUCCCCGAAAGGGGAAUUAACCCUCCAUAAUAUCAUUGAAUGGCAUCAUUUGAUGAUUAAAACUGAGGUGGUACAAGA